GGCGUAAAGCGCAUGCAGGUGGGAGGGCAAGUCUGAUGUGAAAGCCCCGGGCUCAACCUGGGAAGUGCAUUGGAAACUGCUUUUCUUGAGUGCUGUAGAGGGGGGUAGAAUUUC
rnacentral:rRNA from 1 species